UAUAAAUAAAGGUACAACCGGGGAAACCCGGUGUCACAAAGCUAUCGGGGCUAAGGAUUCUUUCUAUGCCAGCCAGCUGCCCUU
rnacentral:ncRNA from 1 species